AGGUGGGCACUCCUGAGACUGCAGAGCGGAAGAGACCACCAACACUGCCCACCCCUGCCCACAUCCCUGGCCCAAGAGGAAACUGUAUACAGCCUCUGGGUUCCCUUGGAUAAGGGCACAGGAGCAGGAAAUCCACUGUGUCUGAGACACCGCCAGAACCUGAAGGGACCGACGAGAUAAAUAGUUCUCUGCACGCAAAUCCCGUGGGAGGGAGAGCUAAACCUUCAGAGAGACAGACAUGCCUGGGAAACCAGAAGAGUCUACACUCGACCCACAUUUUGACUCCAGAGGAAAACACCAAAUGCCAUCUGGAACCCUGGUGCACAGAAGCUCACGGAAAGGGCGGUGCAGAUCUUCCUGGUUGCUGCCGCCGCAGAGAGCUCAUAAGCAAAACCCCACGAGCAAACUUGAGCCUUGGGACCACAGGUAAAACAAACCUUCCAACUCUAAGAAAGCUGCCUGGUGAACUCAAGACAGAGGCCCACAGGAACAGCUGAAGACCUGUAGAGAGGAAAAACUACACGCCCGAAAGCAGAACACUCUGUCCCCAUAACUGACUGAAAGAAAACAGG
rnacentral:lncRNA from 1 species